CUUCUCAAACAACCCAGCAGAGAGUUUCGAUUGAAAAACACAUUAACAGACUUGCAGAAGCCAUAUAAACUCUUUAACAGCUGGCAUCCACCUCCGUCACUAUGCGGUCACCGGCUGCUCAGACUCAACAGAUUUCAGCAACUCCUCACCCAUCUUUUUGCAUCCUACCAAUACUGUUCCAGCUGAAUACAUAUCACCCGUCCGAAAACCUUUGUCUAGCGUCUUUAUCACCGCAGCUUCGAUUCUCCUUGCAGCACUCUCUUCACCAAGUCCAUACCUCAAAAGCAUUGCGGCACUGAGCACUGUUGCCAACGGAUUAGCCUUGUCCUGCCCAGCGAUAUCGGGCGC
rnacentral:misc_RNA from 1 species